rnacentral:lncRNA from 1 species
GAAAGAGAACAGGUAUUAUCCUGAAAUGUAAAAAUCUUCCAUAUAAGUGUCAUACCACGUUCCCAAUCCCAUAGUUCCGGGAACAUGGCUGCUAAGAUGCUACCACAUAUUGUGAUGAACUUUGAGUAUAGUUUCAACUAGCAACUUGGAGCAGAAUAAUCAACACAUAAUGCAUAAAUGACAUGGUGAUUUAUAUGGAAAACAUCCUCCAGAACAAGAGGAGUAAAAACCACAGGGCAAUCAACCCACUCCUAAUCUCUUCCACUAAAUUUUGAUAAUGGGUAAAAGAAGUCUUCUCUAGAACACCUAAAGGUACAUCUCAGCAGCACCACUAACAACAAAGCAUUCCUACCUUCAUACAACAGCAAUAUAAUAGCAACAACAUUAAAGCGAGAUACGUACAAUAAGAGGUAUUACUUUCAACUUCACUAAGUCCUGCUCAUACCGAGCAAAUCUCAAAUCCAAAUGCCUUCAAAAUUGGUACAACUGAAGUUCAAUGAGUUCCUCACGAGUUAGUAAAGUUUUAGCCAAUUCAAACCACGUUUGACCCCCUCAGAUCAUACUCUUACCAAAGCUAUGCACCACUAAAUAUGCUGACGAAUGCCCCCCCCCAAAAAAAAAACUGAUGUUCCGCUAACCAAAUCCUCAAACCAACC